AUGGCGGCUGACCUCCGGCAGGCGCCGGCGUGGUUCGUCUGGCUGGCCGUCCUCGGCGCCCUCCACGUCGCGGCGCUCUCGUCCCGCCUCCUCGUCCACCUCGCGCACUGCCUGCGCCGUCCCAGGGACCUCCGCCGGCGCUACGGCGCGUGGGCCGUGGUCACCGGCCCGACGUCCGGCAUCGGGCGGUCCGUCGCCCUGGAGCUCGCCGGCCGGGGCCUCAACCUCGUCCUCGUCGGUCUAGACGCCGCGGACCUCCGGGAAGUCUCUGACACGAUCACCUCCCGCCACCCCGUGGAGACCAGGACCGUGGUGUUCGACCUCUCCCUCGUCUCCACUCCCCAAGGCGACGAGGCGAUGCGGCGGCUCCGGGACGUCGUGGAGGGGCUGGACGUGGGCGUCCUCGUGAACAACGCCGGGGUGAUGAGCCCUCGCGCGGCGUUCUUCCACGAGGGCGACUUGGAGGCGUACGUGCGCAUGAUCCGCGUGAACCUGUGGGCGCCGACGGAGGUGACGGCGGCGGUGAUCCCGGGCAUGGCGGCGCGGGGCAGGGGCGCCGUGGUCAGCAUGGGGUCGGCGACGUCGGAGGCCGUCGCCUCCUUCCCGCUCCACGCCGUCUACUCCGGCACCAAGCGGUACGUCGCGGUGCUCUCCGGGGGCCUCGCCGCCGAGUACGGGGGCCGAGGGGUCGACGUGCAGUGCCAGGCGCCCAUGUUCGUGGCGACGGCGAUGAUCGCCGACUUCUCGGCGGUCUGGCGCCCCGCGCCGCUGGUGCCCACCGCCGACGCCUACGCGCGCGCCGCGGUGCGCUGGGUCGGCCGCGGCGGCCCGCUCUGCGUGCCCAGCCUCCGGCACCGGCUGCUGUGGUGCCUCCUCGCCGCCGUGCCCGGCCGCGUCCAGGACUGGGCCUGCCUGCGCGAGGGCCUUCGGCAGAGGAACACGUCCCGGAGAUCGUCGACGGCGUCCGCAAACCUUAACUAA
rnacentral:rRNA from 1 species